CUUUGUGACUAUGGGGAUCAUGGUCGGCAUCCCCCAUGAAACCUAGAAGUUACAAGAAUCACUAACAGAUUUACUAGGGAAAGAGGGGACAGAGGCUAUACCUUUUCCCCCAAACUUCUGUGGACACAAAGAACAGAUUUUUUCCUUCUUCACAACAUCUACUCUGCAUAUUUGAAUUCCUGUCCCUCUCUGAAAGGGUGAGGGAUGGUUAACUCAACUGAGGACCUAAUUGGAGGUUUUUGAUCUAUAAGACUGCCACAACAGCCUACUGACACUUCCACUACCAAUUCUGCAGCAGGUUGGUCUGAGACUGCUGCCCCAUGGCUGUGCAAUGAAAUCACUUGCUAUUGUGGUAUCAGUCCAUCCAUUAAAAACUUCUGCAGAAUUUGCACUCCAGAUGUUUUUAGAUUCAUGCAGCACCAACCACUUGAAAAAUUCUCCUCUGAAGACUGCUAUCAGCACAGAAACAACUGUAGCUUAAUCACGGUUUUAUUUGAAAAAGAAGAACACGUAUUUACUUUGAUAAUAUUUUUGAGUUCCUGAAGGCCAGAUCCUGUUCCCGCUGGUAUCUGUGGCAAAACUCCCAUUAACUUCAAUGGCAACAAAAGCAGCCACCUAGUUUGCAUAAUCUGCAGAAAGUAAAUAUUUUAACAAUUGUUAUCUGUGUUAUUUAAGUAGCUAAU